rnacentral:lncRNA from 1 species
UACUUUUUAUUUUUAUUUAUUUUUAUUUUUGAAACAAGUUAAAUAUCCUGAGUGGCCAUGAGUUUGUUGCAUUCCUUAUGUAUGAACAACACAUCUAGAUUUUAAAAGAAAAUAGUUUAUUUUAAAAGUGAUACAGACAGGAAAUGUUUUGCGUUUCAGAGACAUCACUGUACAUGGCGGCUAUUAGACUUCUUGAGUGAGUGAAUUCCGUGCUGGGCUACUGGUACUUCAGCAAAAAGAAAAGUGAAAAGGUGUUUCAGGUGAGUGAUCUUGCAUGUAUGGAUCUAAAUAAAUAUUUAAGCACUUUUAUGAAAUGUUUAAAAAAAUAAUUUCCUGUAAAAACAAACCUAGCUCCCCGUCUGGUGUCCUCUCCCUACAAUAUUAUCACAUGGUUAGGUUGAAACCUGUUCUGCACAAUUUUCCCAUCAACAAUUCCAAUAGUGAAGGAAACAAACUCUACACCUUAGAACUUUGGACGCAGAUCUUAAAAAAAAAAAAAAAUCCCCCAAAGCACUGCGGUCUAUGUUAUUUUGUCUGAAU